AAAUUCCUACGGGGGGCAGCAGUGAGGAAUAUUGGUCAAUGGGCGCGAGCCUGAACCAGCCAAGUCGCGUGAUGUAAGACUGUCCUAUGUAUUUUAAACCUCUUUUUUCUUUUAUCAAAAUACGCCACGUGUGGCGUUCCGCGCGUCCCCGCCGGCCCCGCCUCGGCUAACUCCGUUCCAUCAGCCGCGGUAAUACGGAUGAUUCGAGCUUUAUCCUUAUUUAUUUUUUUUAAAUU
rnacentral:rRNA from 1 species